UACGUAGGGUGCGAGCGUUGUCCGGAAUUAUUGGGCGUAAAGAGCUCGUAGGCGGUGUGUCGCGUCGGCCGUGAAAACCUGGGGCUUAACUCUGGGCGUGCGGUCGAUACGGGCAUCACUAGAGUUCGGCAGGGGAGACUGGAAUUCCUGGUGUAGCGGUGAAAUGCGCAGAUAUCAGGAGGAACACCGGUGGCGAAGGCGGGUCUCUGGGCCGAUACUGACGCUGAGGAGCGAAAGCAUGGGUAGCGAGCAGG
rnacentral:rRNA from 1 species